AUGACCCCAACCCCAUGGCCACCCUGUCCCCAUGAUGACCCUGACCCCAUGGCCAUCCUGUCCCCAAUAUCCCCAACCCCACAGUCACCCUGUCUCCAAUGUCCCCAGCCCCAUGGCCACCCUGUCCCCAAUGUCCCCGACCCCACUGUUGUCUUGUCCCUAAUGAUGACCCUGACCCCAUGGCCAUCCUAUCCCCAAUGUCCCCUUGAUGACCCCAACCCUGCAGCCACCCUGUCCCUAAUGAUGACCCCAGCCCCAUGGCCAUCCUGUCCCCAAGGAUGUCCCUGACCCCACAGUCAUCCUGUUCCUAAGGAUGCCCCUGACCCCAUGGCCACCCUGUCCCCAAUGUCCCCAACCCCACAGCCACCCUGUCCCUAAUGUCCCCUUGAUGACCCCAACCUCACAGCCACCCUGUCCCCAACAACGUUCCUGACCCCAAAGCUGUCCUGUUCCUAAUGAUGACCCCAACUCCAUGGCCACCCUGUCCCCAAGGAUAUCCCUAACCCCAUGGCCACCCUGUCCCCAUGAUGACCCCGACCCCACAGCCAUCCUGUCCCCAACAAUGUCCCUGACCCCACAGCCAUCCUGUCCCCAGUGUCCCCAUGAUGUCCCCAACCCCGCAGCCAACCUGUCCCCAACAAUGUCCUGACCCCAUUGCCACCCUGUCCCCAUGAUGACCCCAACCCCACAGUCGUCCUGUCCCCAAUGUCCCCAUGAUGUCCCCAACCCCACAGCCACCCUGUCCCUAAUGAUGACCCCAACCCCGAUGC
rnacentral:lncRNA from 1 species